rnacentral:rRNA from 1 species
ACACGUAGGGGGCGAGCGUUGUUCGGAAUUAUUGGGCGUAAAGGGUGCGCAGGCGGUUUUACAAGUCUGAUGUUAAAGGCCAGAGCUUAACUUUGGAAAUGCAUUGGAAACUGUAAGACUAGAGUAGCUGAGGGGAAGACGGAAUUCCUGGUGUAGGGGUGAAAUCUGUAGAUAUUAGGAAGAACACCGAUGGCGAAGGCAGUCUUCUGGCAGCAAACUGACGCUGAGGCACGAAAGUGCGGGGAUCAAACAGGAUUAGAUACCCUGGUAGUCCGCACCGUAAACUUUGUACACUGGGUGUCGGCCGUAAGGUCGGUACCGAAGCUAACGCGUUAAGUGUACCGCCUGGGGAGUAUGCCCGCAAGGGUGAA